rnacentral:sRNA from 1 species
GCUGGGCAAAGUUGUGCGUGCCUGUAAUCCCAGCUACUUGGGAGGCUGAGACAGGAGAAUCGCUUGAACCCGGGAGGCAGAGGCUGCAGUGGGCCAAGAUCAUUGCACCACUGUACUCUAGCCUGGGUGACAGAGUGAGACUCUGUCUCAA